UUGCUUCCUUAUGUAGGGAAGGGUUUCUUGCAAGGCAUAGCAAUUCAGGCUAGCAGCCUGGGAUGGUGCAAAAUCAAGAUUCCACAGAACUUGGCUGGGUCAGGAUUCUACAUCAGUUGGAAACUCUCUCAAGCUGGGUGGCAGACUGGAAGGUGGGCCUAGUGUUCUCCCUGAAGAAAACAAAUGAGGCGCUGCCAAGGACUUUGGAGUAUCAAAUAAGGCGGAGAGAAAGUGUGGUCAUAUUAUAAAAUAGAAGGUUUCCAAGCAUUGCUGAAUAAAAAAAGGCCAGACUUCAAAAGAAAAUUUGAUGUCCAAAUACAAAAUUCAAAAGAAGCUUAGAAGGAUCAGCACAGUUUAAAUU
rnacentral:lncRNA from 1 species